UACGGGGGGUGCGAGCGUUGUCCGGAAUCACUGGGCGUAAAGGGCGCGUAGGUGGCCUGAUAAGGGUGUGGUGAAAGUCCGGGGCUCAACCCCGGAUCUGCCGUGCCGACUGUUGGGCUAGAGUACUGUAGGGGCAGGCGGAAUUCCGGACUGUGAUGACGGCUGGGGUAAGUAAACUGGUCGAUGAGGAAGUACGUGAGGAAUGGGAACCGGGGAAUGGCCAGCCAAAAGGU
rnacentral:rRNA from 1 species